UUUGUUUUCUUCUAGUCUGGCCAGACGAACCUAUAGUGUGCACAUCUUUUUAGAAACAUAAAGGAUUUUAUUAUUGAACUUGUUGCAAGUUAAAAUAGUUUAAACCCAUCAGACUGUAAAGUCAUGCAGCAGUUGUCAUUUAGCUGUUUGUCAUCAUUUUAAAAUCACGCUGUGGGAUUUUUUUGAGCAAAAAGCGAUUCUUCAUUGCGAGCAGAUAAGCAUGAACAUGAAUUUGAGCGUGUAUCAGCUGUAAGCGUGUUUCUUCAUUGCGUGUAUGAAUGUGUGUGUUUUUUGCGGUACCGUCUUGUACGUCACAUGAAAAGGAACCGUCACCUUCCUCCUUCCCCAACCAUCAGUCUGAUGUGAGCGCCAGUGGGUGAAGCCUGACGUAGAUGGGACAGUUGUUCCUCGAUGACAGACCUUUCCUGGAUCCUCGAAUGCAGCUCUUUUGGGCCAAUCACGUCUGAAGCCUCUCCUGUUGUUUCAACCAGUGUCUGUGUCAGAGCACGUCUUCUCACUCUACUGUUGCUCUGUCCUUGUUUUACUUUGCUGAUUGUCAUAAGCAGGUGUCUGUGUCGGACACACACGCUUGUAUGACACUUUCACGGCUUCAGAAGCUUCAGACACAGUCCUUUCAUGCUGGUGCAGGGCUUGUAGUAGCUGGUUCAUCUGAUGAGCCCAGAACGUGAUGGCUGCAGACGUUGUGGGAGUCGCUGAGGUGUCCAUGCUGUGGUCUGUGUCCUCCAGCUGCUGUGGUGUCAGAGCUUCCACCCUGUUCUGGUUGUUGGUCAGGCGCUUCUUCUCCUUCGGUUCUUCUGCUGAUGGUGGGAAAGGAGUCCAGAUCCGGAUUUACCUUUUACUUUUAAUUACUUUUACUUUUGUAAUGCUGCAGUCUGGUGGUGGAGACUUAGAUCGCCCCGACCCAUCUUUCAGAGUCCCGGCGGUUUCCUGCCUUAGAUUUUUAUGUGUUCCGGCCGGAACCUUUUUUCGAAAUUUCUCUUCCACGGACGUCUCCGUAGAAAGGGAACCGCUCAGAUCAGCGACAGGGUUCUCGGAAGUGGUCCCUCACCGUCAGGCCCCUCUAAGACCCGGGUCCCUCGUAUCUCAAAACCACUUCCCCCUCCGUAUUUCAGAAGCCGUCUUUUAUUUCCUUGUCCACACCCUUUGGACUGCGCUCAGAUCUGCACACUGGUCUGUAUCCUCAGUACAGACAAAAAGCUCGGUCCCACGAGCCAACCCUUAGCAACCACCGUCUCGGCCACCAGGGCAGACUUUGACCUAAUUAAUUUUACCGAAUAUUAAAUUUUUUAAUUUAAAAAAAAUUGUUUGGUCCUAAUUAUUAUCUUUUAGAUGUUUUCAGCCACAGUCGUUUUAGAAAUAUUAUUAUCUCUUUUCCUAGUUAUAUUUUCUUUUUGUCAUUGUUUGUUUUAGUCUAGUUGCGGAUGUUUUAGAAUUAAUUGUUAUUUGCCUUACUUUCCCUAAACCAAAUGAUCAGAGCCAAGUAAACCCGAAUACCUGAAACCAAUUUCAAACCCGUUUUCUUUUUUUUUUUUUCCUUAACAAGUCGCAACAAAACGGAAUCUCUCUCACCGGGCCGAGCAGAGGUUGGAUUUUGAGUUCGUUGGAUCUCGUCAGAGGCAAUCCAGACGGGUGAGCAGUCCUCCCACUCAGAACAGCUGUAGA
rnacentral:lncRNA from 1 species